rnacentral:tRNA from 1 species
GGAGAGGUGGCAGAGUGGCCGAAUGCGUACGCUUGGAAAGCGUAUAUGGCAGAAAUGUCAUCGGGGGUUCGAAUCCCCCCUUCUCCGCAA